rnacentral:lncRNA from 1 species
UGUCCAGCCUUGGUGCCCCUCAGCAGUGAGAGAGAAGGUAUUAGAAACCAUUCACCAGCUCAGGAUGCCCGGGCAGUACUUGUCAAUCAGCCCCUGAUAGUAGGGCCGCAGGCUCUUCACUUCCGGUAGGUCAGGGCACUUGGUGUAGAGGUCAAACUUGCUGCAGACAAGGGGAGGGACAACACCAGUCAUAAAACUCCUUCACCCCAAGUCCCCUUCACUGCCCGCACCACUUGGGGAACUACACACUUGAACUCUUGCACCCAAGGCAGCAUAUCCAGGUCUUGCUGACUGCACAGCUGCCGGUAGUCACCGCCGGUGUGCCACGGAUAGAAGGAAUGGAAUCGGACCAUGUAGAAGGCCUGGGGACACCACAGACAGCAUGCUCAGCUCUGCUAGACUAGCUGGACUGAAUGAGGCUCCUGACUGGGCCCCUCUCCACACCUACCUCUGAAGGGCCAGGAUUUUCCCCAGAUCAUGCAAAAGUCCAACCAGAUGGAACCAGUCUGUGGAAAAGGGACACAUGACCUAGAAACCGCAGGCAUAACGCAGUAGGGGCACACCCUUGUCUGGGUGGGCUUUUCGGAUGCCCUCCGCGGUCUGGAACGCGUGAAAGGAGUUGGGGAAGUCUACGUCUGGGUCAGAUUCGUCCACCAGAUCAUCCAGCAUAUCUACAGCCUCCAUGACCGUCAUCUUCUUGUAAGAGAAGCUUCCAAACUGGAUGCGCUGGAGAGAAGGGAGACGUCAGCCAUUCUUCAUGUCCCACAGAGAGGGCUACAGAGCAGGGUCAUUCUCCGAGUACAUUGG